rnacentral:rRNA from 1 species
UGGGGAAUAUUGGACAAUGGGCGAAAGCCUGAUCCAGCCAUGCCGCGUGUGUGAAGAAGGUCUUCGGAUUGUAAAGCACUUUAAGUUGGGAGGAAGGGCAGUAAGCGAAUACCUUGCUGUUUUGACGUUACCGACAGAAUAAGCACCGGCUAACUCUGUGCCAGCAGCCGCGGUAAUACAGAGGGUGCAAGCGUUAAUCGGAAUUACUGGGCGUAAAGCGCGCGUAGGUGGUUCGUUAAGUUGAAUGUGAAAGCCCCGGGCUCAACCUGGGAACUGCAUACAAAACUGGCGAGCUAGAGUAGGGCAGAGGGUGGUGGAAUUUCCUGUGUAGCGGUGAAAUGCGUAGAUAUAGGAAGGAACACCAGUGGCGAAGGCGACCACCUGGGAUCAUACUGACACUGAGGUGCGAAAGCGUGGGGAGCAAACAGG